rnacentral:antisense_RNA from 1 species
CAUUCACCACCCCAUGACGCGGCGCCGGGUCGCCGCCGCAGAUUCGACACAAAACCCGGAAGGACCCAGCCGAAGGUUUUCUCCGGUUCGGGCAAGAGACGGGGUCCCGCUCUGUCACCCAGGCUGCCAGACUGGCGUACAGUGGUGCAAUCUCAGCUCACUGCAACCUGCACCUCCUGGGUUCAAGUGAUUUUCUUGUCUCUGCCUCCUGAGUAGCUGGGAUUACUGGCACACACCACCAUGCACUGGGAGACAUGAGACAUCAAUCAAUAUAUGUAAGCUGUACAUCAGUUUCGUCUGGAAAGAUGGGACAACAUGAAGCAGGGAGGGGGCUCCCAGGUCACAGUUCCUUGUUCAAAAUGCCAAGAACCUGGAUGACUCAGAGUCAAGACCCUCCACCAGUAACAUAUAUUGGCGAGCCAGCCAGGAGUGAAUGGGUCUCAUGAGAUCUGAUGGUUUUGAAAGUGGGAGUUACCUUGCACGAGCUCUCUUUUUGCCUGCUGCCAUCCACAUAAGAUGUGAUUUGCUCUUCCUUGCCUUCCACCAUGAUUGUGAGGCCUUCCCAGCCAUGUGGAAAUGGUCCAACCUGCAAUAACUGAAGCCCCAGACCUGGAACCUGAAGAUACCAUCAGCCACUAAACCUGUGAACCUGUGGAAGACCUAAAGUACCUGUUUAAAAGGCAGCCAAAAGAUAAGUAAAUUCCUAUCAACUUUCCUUGGUGUCCUUCUUGUAUAUUUACUGUAAGCUGGAUAUA